rnacentral:sRNA from 1 species
ACAGAGCCCGGGCCGCAGGCACCUCCUCGCCAGCUCUUCCGCUCCUCUCACAGCCGCCAGACCCGCCUGCUGAGCCCCAUGGCCCGCGCCGCUCUCUCCGCCGCCCCCAGCAAUCCCCGGCUCCUGCGAGUGGCACUGCUGCUCCUGCUCCUGGUAGCCGCCGGCCGGCGCGCAGCAGGAGCGUCCGUGGCCACUGAACUGCGCUGCCAGUGCUUGCAGACCCUGCAGGGAAUUCACCCCAAGAACAUCCAAAGUGUGAACGUGAAGUCCCCCGGACCCCACUGCGCCCAAACCGAAGUCAUAGCCACACUCAAGAAUGGGCGGAAAGCUUGCCUUAAUCCCGCAUCCCCCAUAGUUAAGAAAAUCAUCGAAAAGAUGCUGAACAGGUGAGUUAUGGUUUCCAUGUACACAGGCGACUGGAGCCGUUGGUCAGAAAUACUGGCAUGUGCCCCCUAAAAAUAAAAUCAGGAAAACCCAGGGGUUAGUUGAAGGACUAGAAAUUGGGAUUAUUGUUUUCACAAUUAAGGUUUCCUUUACGAUAAUUACUGCUCUGGUGCCAGAGGAUAUUCCCAAU